UUGCUGUGAGCACUCCGCAUGAUCGCUCCUUUGGACGUUCGUUGGGUUCGUAGCACAUGUAAGGUUGGUGAAGACGCAUGGAAAUGUGAGCUUACAUGCCUCAAGUAAUAAGGUAUUGUAUUGCAUUCUAUUGUAUUGCAAUAUAGUCCUGCCGGUGUGCUCACAGUAACUUUAUUGCUAUUGAUUAAAUCGUUCCAGCCAUCACUGUUCGCGUGCUUGCACAGUUAAGCCUAGGCGUGUUGUGCGAGAGACCUAGGCUGGUUGUGCUAUUUCUAAAGUUAAAAGACGUUCUAGCGCUAAAGAACUACAAGCAGAUUUACAAGAAGCGUAUGAUGUGUUCUGUAGUAUUGCAAAUCUGCAGAUUUAAAAAAAAAAAGCGGAUGAUGUGUUCUGUAGUAUGGCAAAUCUUAUUCUAUUUCAGGUCCGGUGGCAAAGAUGCUGCGUUUCCGAUCCGACCCGGUUCGUAUUGUUGUGAGCUUUAGUUCUUUCAUAUAUAUUUGUGAUGACUUCAAGAAACCCUCGAUGAUUCAGUGAGAGUAAAGUUUAACUGAUUUAAUGAGGCUGAUAAUCGCGCCUGAGCAUUCCAACGACCGUCAUCGGACGACGGAGACAUUGAAAAACAUUUCGCCCUCUCAUCUUGUAGGUUGUACAGUCGCGCAAUUCCCCAGCUGUCACCACUGUUCUAGAAGCAACAGGUGUAAAAAGCAUCGAAGUUUAUGAAGCAAUCUCUGCGCUCGAGAACCCAUUAAGAGGCGUUUGCCUACUAAAUGCAGUUGUUCGAACAUGUGUGCGGAUGCUAUACCAUGUGGGAAACAUUGGUAAGUAUUAUGUCGUUGGUAGAAAUCCAAGGACAUUCAACGCUUUCGUCGUUUGAUUGUAAUAAAGCAUUUCUUUCUUACCU
rnacentral:lncRNA from 1 species